rnacentral:rRNA from 1 species
GAGUUUGAUCCUGGCUCAGAUUGAACGCUGGCGGCAUGCCUUACACAUGCAAGUCGAACGGCAGCAUGAUCUAGCUUGCUAGAUUGAUGGCGAGUGGCGAACGGGUGAGUAAUACAUCGGGACGUGCCCUGUAGUGGGGGAUAACUAGUCGAAAGAUUAGCUAAUACCGCAUACGACCUGAGGGUGAAAGUGGGGGACCGCAAGGCCUCAUGCUAUAGGAGCGGCCGAUGUCUGAUUAGCUAGUUGGUGGGGUAAAGGCCCACCAAGGCGACGAUCAGUAGCUGGUCUGAGAGGACGAUCAGCCACACUGGGACUGAGACACGGCCCAGACUCCUACGGGAGGCAGCAGUGGGGAAUUUUGGACAAUGGGCGAAAGCCUGAUCCAGCAAUGCCGCGUGUGUGAAGAAGG